UAUUGGAAAAUGUGCCUGGGAUAAAAA
rnacentral:rRNA from 1 species